AAACCAUGAUGUGAGUAUUGUCUGAGCAUAUUGUUGUAUCUAUCCCAUCCUUCAAAUAAAGAUUCUGAAUAUGAUUGUCUGAAGCUUGCAAUUUGAUUUCUCAUAU